UACAGAGGGUGCAAGCGUUGUUCGGAAUUAUUGGGCGUAAAGCGCGUGUAGGCGGCUUUGCAAGUCGGGUGUGAAAGCCCUCAGCUCAACUGAGGAAGUGCGCCCGAAACUGCAGAGCUUGAAUACCGGAGAGGAUGGCGGAAUUCCCCAAGUAGAGGUGAAAUUCGUAGAUAUGGGGAGGAACACCGACGGCGUAGGCAGCGCCCUGGCCGCGUCCUGACGCUCGGGCACGAAAGCUGGGGGAGCGAACAGG
rnacentral:rRNA from 1 species